ACAGGGUCAAUUAUACAUUAAUAUAUGUGUGUGUAUAUGGAAUACAGUAUAUUGUACUUUAGUUAUUGUGAUAAUUACACAAAAUCUGUGUCUGUGGAUUUGUUUUUGUUUGUUUUUGUUUCAGUUAAUGCCUGACUAGUUGAGCCUCCUUGUCAGUAAGCGGAACUUUGGUUCGGUUUGUAUUACUACAGCCACAUUCUAUGUAGCACUGCCCUCUAUAACUGGCGUUUUCGCGCUGAUUUUCUCCCCUUUUGACAUGAAUCUCUGUGGGAGAGGUAAGCGGUUUUGCUGUCCGGUGAAAUUCCUGUUCUAGCAAGCUAAAACUUGUCACAAGAUGCUUACUUUGUUGUCAUUUGAUCUGUGUAGGGGCAUGUGUUGUGGCGAUCAAUGACGGGAGGAUUUUGUGUUAAUAUUUUCAUGUCAGGAGCCGGAAAAUAAAUGGAGACUGCCUCCAAAAA